AGAAUGAACGCUGGCGGCGUGCUUAACACAUGCAAGUCGAGCGAGGCCAGGGGGCAACUCCCUGAGUCGAGCGGCGGACGGGUGAGUAACACGUGGGUAACCUACCCGGAAGUGGGGAAUACCUCGGGGAAACUCGAGCUAAUACCGCAUAACAUUUCGAGGACGAAAGUUCUUGUGAUCAAAGCGGGGCCGCAAGGCCUCGUGCUACCGGAUGGGCCCGCGCCCGAUUAGCUAGUUGGCGAGGUAAUGGCUCACCAAGGCGACGAUC
rnacentral:rRNA from 1 species